rnacentral:lncRNA from 1 species
CAUCAGUAUCAACCUUUUUUCACGAGAGCGUGAAAAAUCCAUUUAAAAAAGCGCUCGACGCCAUCAAAGCUUGGUUUUUUUCCUCUCCCAUCUUCCGCAAUUCUCAUCAGCACUAUAAAUACGCGGCUUCGUAAUUGAAAAUUUUGCUUUUAGGGUUUAGAUGUGCUACAAGGCAUACCGCAAAAGCCAUUUCAUUUUCACCAUGCGGGUACUUUUUGUUAUCUGCAGCCUGUACUUGAUAGGUGCUGUGGUCAGUAAAACGCCUACUCGUGAAUCUCCUGACAGAUCGUCCUCAAGAUCUCCUUCAAGGCCCGACUCAAAAUCUGCAAAACGCUCUAUUUCUUCAAAAAGCAGCCGCUUCCUGUCAGUGAUGUCGGGUGGAAUAAAAUCUCUCUCAAAAAGUAAUAGAUGGCUCAGCUUUGGUUCGUUCAAGGAAGAUCCUUCGAAAGCAGUUCGAAAAGCACUAAGAGGUGAUCAUUUGGAUAGAAGUCCAAGUGAUAUGAGUUUUUCCUCAGAUAUCGCCAGGAUACUCCCACCAGCCCUGAAUCACAGCGUCAGGUAUUCCGCACCGGUAAGUAAUCCAUUUUGCAAUGACGAACCACUAUUUCUGACUCAUUUUAAAACAACAUAUAUGUCAUUGGUUUCCCCAUGCAGAAAGGUGCUUUUGUGGAGGAACCAGAGAUAGUGGAUCCUUAUGGCAAAAUGUAAUCCAGUUCAUCCAUUUUGCGUAGGCGGUCAGUCAGGUCGUUCAGUGCAUUUAUUUGAAUAUGUGCCCAAACAGUGACAAUCACUUACCUCACAUGAGACAGAGGCUUUACACGGAUUCUUAAUCGUUGGGAUAUUUACGCAGUAAUGGUUUUAAAGCGAGGAGUCGAGGACAAACUUAAUUUUGAUCGUAAAAAGGAGGAUAUCAAAACACUACUCAAGGACGCCUGAAAACCAAUGACUUAAACUUUUUAGGAAUUGAAAAGAAAGAAGACGAAGGAAAGAGGAAAGGUAGCACUGAAAAAUGAGAUAAAGAAGGAAACAAUGUACGAAUGAAUUUGUAUUGAAAGAACCUGUGAAGUACGCACAUUCCAUGCACAUAGUCUCUUUUAAUUAAAUUCAUUUGCUCAUAAUCCCGUUUAGCAUAAAUUCGUUUAAAAAUACUCGUGUGUCUACAGAGAGAUGAAAAGUGCAAAUACCUUCAUGCAAUGCAACUGUAAGGUUCGUAAAACUCAUGUAAUCGAACACUUUUAUAGGGUAUGUAUUUAAAGGAAGAUCUUUGAAAGACAGGAAGGGAUGAAAAUCGGAAGCACUGAUAGAGCGGUGCAAUUGUGUAUUUAACAUAAUAAAAGAAGGGUUUCCACAGAUUUAUUACAUGCAAU